UACAGAGGCCUCGAGCGUUAGGCGGAAUCACUGGGCUUAAAGCGUGUGUAGGUGGGUCCGUAAGUACCUUGUGAAAUCCCAUGGCUCAACCAUGGAACUGCUGGGUAUACUGCGGGUCUUGAGCUAUCUAGAGGUUACUGGAACAAACGGUGGAGCGGUGAAAUGCGUAGAUAUCGUUUGGAACGCCAAUGGUGAAAGCAGGUAACUGGGGAUAUGCUGACACUGAGACACGAAAGCCAGGGGAGCAAACGGG
rnacentral:rRNA from 1 species